AGAGUGGGUGUGGCCAAAUUGCACCCUGCAAGUCCCGCUCAGUGCUCAUUAGAAAUUGUGAAGUUAGUACAACUAGAACUAUGUGCAUUAGAGAACUUUGAGGGGUUAGAUUUGCACGUAAAAAGAUGGCAUUUAAAUUCAAAACUUGACAUUCCUCCAGCAAAAAAGAGGAAAAAGGAAACUCUGAAGUAAUCUGAGCAAACACAAUAAAUGCAGUGUUACAGAAGUCAACUCCUCCGCACCAGUUUGCAGUUUGGGUUUCAGAGGAUGGUAACUGGACCAGAGUGAAGAGGCUAUGUCUGGGAGAAAAAGAUGACGAUUUGAAGGACGACGGCUGGUUUUGGCUGAACAUUUGGGAGCGGAGCCUGCGCUUUAGUUGGUGCUGACUCAGGCCGGGGCGGUGACAUCAUCAUCAUGAGACCGCAGCUGCUCCUCCUGGGACGUCCCGUGGGUCACUUUACGGGGCAGUGGCAGGAGGGUAGUGUGAUGUGUCAAGAGUAAGUACAAAAAUAGCCUUGAUAUUGUUAAAAAUCCUUUGUUCAUGAAUUAAAAAGUUGUGUCUGUGCAAAGAUUUGAUCUGAUCCUUCAAAUUGAAAUAAAAAUGAUUAUUUGGAAUUACGCAAAUGAGUUAUUAUUUCAUUUUUUUUAAAGAUUUCUCAUUGCUUUAGUUUGUGUUUAUGCCAGAUGCCCUUCCUCGCUUUGGCUCUGUAACAUUAAAUUUAGAAAGUUCUGUUGGUUUAGUGGGUCGAGUCACAUACGAGUCACAUACCCCCCCCCCCCCCCCCCCCCCUGAGUGGUAUGAUCCGCAGACAUGAGGUAAUACCCCCCCCCCCCAACUAAGAGCCAAACAGGACAGUGGAAAGAUCAACCCCGAGUCACCAGUGAAGUGAUGAUUUACACAUGUAUUUAUUUAUCUGAGUAAACCAAACUGUGUUGUAGAAAGUUCCAGAAGGAAGGUCAGUACAAUGUGUGAAGUGAAAGAAGAAAUAAAGUUACUUCAUAAUAGUAAUAAAAAUAAAACAUUCAGUGUUUUACAGCAAAGAGCAAAUCACCAAGUGUUUGUCAAAACAUUUUCAUCACAAAAUAUAAAUCCAAUCCUAAAACUGCAUUUGUCCAAAGCAGGUUUAUAUUUGAUCUGUGAAUAGUUUGUUAUAUAAAAUAACACUAAUAAAAUCUGCCCAGCCACUGUCCUGUAUAUCAUACUAUAUAUUAUACUGUAUACUAUACUGUAUAUCAUACUGUACAUUAUACUGUAUAUUUUCCUGUAUAUUAUACUGUAUAUUUUCCUGUAUAUCAUACUGUAUAUCAUACUGUAUAUUUUCCUAUAUAUUUUCCUGUAUAUUGGCACCAGUUCAUCACCUCAAACCCCGUCUCAGACAGUGACAUGUACAUAAACAGAGUACAUGUACAUGUAAAUGAUGGAUGUUCUUUAUAGUGUCUUCACUGUGCACCUGUAGGACUGUUGUAUGUACUACACUGUACAUGUACACAUACUGUGUACACAUACAGUGUACAUAUAUUGUGUAGAUAUACAUGUGCAUAGACCUGAUGGCUGGACUUUACACUGCCCUCGCUGAACCUGCAGUACUGUACUGCACUGUACUGCACUCUACAGUACUGCACUCUACAGUACUGUACUGCACUGUACUGCACUCUACAGUACUGCACUCUACAGUACUGUACUGCACUGUACUGCACUCUACAGUACUCUACAGUACUGCACUCUACAGUACUGCACUGCACUGCACUGCACUGUACUGCACUGCACUGCACUCUACAGUACUGCACUGUACUGUACUGUACUGCACUGCACUGCACUGUACUGUACUGUACUGCACUCUACAGUACUGCACUGUACUGUACUGUACUGCACUGCACUGCACUGUACUGUACUGUACUGCACUCUACAGUACUGCACUGUACUGUACUGCACUGCACUGCACUGUACUGUACUGUACUGCACUCUACAGUACUGCACUCUACAGUACUGCACUGCACUGCACUGCACUGUACUGUACUGUACUGCACUCUACAGUACUGCACUGUACUGUACUGUACUGUACUGUACUGCACUCUACAGUACUGCACUGUACUGCAGUGUUGCAUAACUCUGUACAGUUGGUGUGAUCCUUGUGUAAAUCCUGGGCCUGGGGCCGUUGUCUGUCACUCAGGCUCUGCCCACAUAAAGUGGAUCUGGUCUGAUACUUUUGUGUAUUCGUUGUCCUGUUGUGCCUGCAGCUCUGUGUUCGUGUGUCCUCGUGUGAACUCGAGCCGACGGCUCUUAUUUUCUCUGAAAAACAUCCUCAAAAACAUGUUUUUAUCUCUGCUCAUCAAAGACAGAGACAGACAGUGAGGCAAAAUUAGCAUUGAGUCUGGAGUUAUUUUUCUUUUCAACGAAACGUGUUAUAAAUAAAAUAAUCUGGGUGGAAUGAAAAAUAUUUGAGACUUUGAGUUGGUGGUGAUGGACUCUGGAGAACUCUGCUCUUCACAGUAUCAUGAAUGUUUAUACGAGCUCCAGUGUUUCAAUAUAUUUAUUUAUUUCAGUCAUGAAGCAAGAAACAUGGAAUUAAGUGGCAAAGAAACAAGAGUAAAUUUGCUUGACUAAAUAUUUUUUGACGAAGUAAAGGGAGGAUUCUUUGAGAGGGCGUGUCCAGACUUCUGUCCGGUCGUGUAGUUUGACCUUGUGUUUUUUAAUACACACACGACGCACAGGAGACUUUAUGAGCAAAGUGUUGAUUAGAAAGAAAAAGCACAAACUGAUCCAAGAUGCUACUUCAAAUAUCUGUUUACAGCAUCACAGCCAAACAUGUGAAAGCCAAUUCCCCUUCAGCACUUCCUCCUUUUACACGUGUUUCACUGGCACCAGCAGCGACGACACGAGCACAAACACACAACACACAACACACAACACACACAACGCAUACAACACACAAACACACAAACACACAACGCACACAACACACAACACACAUCACAUGUAUGAAGCAAAAAGGAAAAGGUAAAUAAUAAAACAUAAAUAAAUAUGUUUUAUAUUCAAAUCCUGCUUUGUCGAAAAAUAUUUAGUAACACGUUCAAGAUUUGGACAGAACCUCUCAUUUUAUGUUUUUUUGUAAUUUAUUUUUACUUAUUUCUACAUUUUAUACACACAGAAUACUUCAAAUAUAUGUAAAAUUUAUGGAAUUAUAUAGAUGAGUUGGUCAAAUUAAGUCGUUUUAAAAGUGCUGUGUGAAUAAACUCGAAUUGAAAGAAAAAAAGGGGAAAAAAAGUUUUCUACAUAACAGAAGUGGAACAAAUCAAGUCUCAAGUCUUUUGCUUCAGGUCCAAGUCGAGUCCCGAGUCACAAACAGGUCCAAGUCGAGUCCCGAGUCACAAACAGGUCCAAGUCGAGUCCCAAGUCACAGACGAGCGAGUCCAAGUCGAGUCCCGAGUCACAAACAGGUCCAAGUCGAGUCCCAAGUCACAAACAGGUCCAAGUCGAGUCCCGAGUCACAAACAGGUCCAAGUCGAGUCCCGAGUCACAGACAAGGCCAAGUUGAUUCCUGUUGAGUCAGUAGCCCUCAAGUCCAAGUCAAGUCCAAGUCCUCUACUCUGAGCUUCAAGUCAUUUCAAGUCUUCAAACCGAAACACCAAACACAGCUCACAUUUUUGCAAUUUAUAUGAUUUUGUCUUGGUCCACGUUUCUAAA